rnacentral:misc_RNA from 1 species
AGACUGCUUAAAGGACCUGGAGCAGACGGUGCAACUGUAUGGCCGGUCACCUGUAUGAACCCGCGGGUGUAUCGUCAGUGAAUUUUUGAAUGAGAAUCUCUGAAGGCAUAAAGGGCAAUGAAAUGGCUUCUCACCAGUGUGGGGGCACAGGUGUUUCAUAAGGUUGCCCUUUUGUGAGAAGCUCUGAGAGCAUGAAGGGCACUGAUAUGGCUUCUCGCCUGUGUGGAUGCGCAGGUGGGCUUUCAGGUGACCCUUGAUUGAGAAGCUCUGAGAGCAUGAAGGGCACUGAUAUGGCUUCUCGCCUGUGUGGGUGCGCAGGUGGGCUUUCAGGUAACCCUUGAUUGAGAAGCUCUGAGAGCAUGAAGGGCACUGAUAUGGCUUCUCGCCUGUGUGGGUGCGCAGGUGGGCUUUCAGGUGGCCCUUUUCUGAGAAGCUCCGAGAGCAUGAAGGGCAGUCAAAUGGCUUCUCGCCUGUGUGGGUGCGCAGGUGGGCUUUCAGGCUGCAAUUUCGUGAGAAGCUCUGAGAGCAUGAAGGGCAGUCAAAUGGCUUCUCGCCUGUGUGGGUGCGCAGGUGGGCUUUCAGGCUGUCAUUUCGUGAGAAGCUCUGAGAGCAUGAAGGGCAGUCAAAUGGCUUCUCGCCUGUGUGGGUGCGCAGGUGGGCUUUCAGGUGGGGCUUUCGUGAGAAGCUCCGAGAGCAUGAAGGGCAGUCAAAUGGCUUCUCGCCUGUGUGGGUGCGCAGGUGGGCUUUCAGGUGGGGCUUUCGUGAGAAGCUCCGAG